CCACCCCAAAAUUUUACCCCAAAACGUUUGCUGGAACCAAAUUCCCCCAAUUGGAGCCGACGAAAAUACCCAAGAUCCGACCUCCUCUCUCCGCCUCGAGCUCGUGCGGCGCCGUUCUCGAGCUCGUCGGCCGCCUCCUCCGCCUCCUCUCUCCGCCUCGAGAUCGUGCGGCGCUGUCUCUAGAUCGUCCACCGCCAUUCGCCGAUCCUGACAACGUCAUUCUCGAGCUCGAACACCCGCUCUCACAAGCUUGAAACCCUAACAAACGCCGCAUCUCACAAGCUCUCAGUGGAAGAGCAGAAGCAAGAGAACGAUUGAGAGAAGGGGACGAUGGUUUCACUGAAGCUCCAGAAGAGGCUCGCCUCGAGCAUCCUCAAGUGUGGAAAGGGCAAAGUUUGGCUCGAUCCUAAUGAAGUGAACGAGAUUUCCAUGGCCAAUUCAAAUAGCUGAAACCACAUCCAAAAUCUACCUCGUCAACUGCUUGUCAGCUAUUCAGCAACCAUUAAUAGGACACGAGGUCACUGCAAAAUAUGUGAACCACCUUUCCUCUAUCAUCGAGACACACACCAAUAUCCUUGUAGAAAAAGAAAUAGAUGCCAUACUCCUGAGAUGCGGUCUAUUGAGCAAGAUAUGCUACGUUCAGACUUUGAAUGAUGAGCAUGGGCCUUUAGCGGAGGUUGAAGAUAUGUCUCCGCAAGUUAUGUCAGAAUGCUUAAGAACCUUUUUUGGGCUUGUCACCGGAAAUGAAGGCUCCUUACCAGAGUUUGAACAGUUGCAAGUGCCUAAAUUGCGUGAUGAAGCAUCCGCUCGUGUUUCUAGGGCUCUUUCAGGAGCAUACGAGCUUCUCUAAGGAGUAAUCACCGAUCCUCAGAAUCAUUACCCUGAUCCAAAGUCACUGGUGAGGCAUUCACCAGAUCAGAUUAGAACCAUAUUGGAGAUUUAAAGGCCCGUUUCAGCGUUCUUGAUGUGUUGUUAAUCUGUAGGCCGAACUGAUUUAUAGUACAACUUUUCUUGGAACAUCAAAAACUCUUUUAUCAAAGAGAUAUUUUGAUGUAGUUUUCGUGCACCAGUUGUUACUGAUUUCAGGCUGUGUAAUUCAUUGCGCUGUUCUUUGAAGGGCCCAAAUAUUUGGUGAUAGGAACACCUUAAUUUCAGAUGAAUAUUUUAAGGAGAUGUAUACGGGUAUCUGGGUAUAUGAUUGUAUAAUUUUGGUGAAUAAUUCGAAGUUUAAGAAUAAAUAUUGUGCUAUUCUCAGCGA